rnacentral:misc_RNA from 1 species
AAAAAUUGAGGUAUUCCAUUACCCUCUUUUGUAUUUAAAACCUCACUCUAUAAAACCUAAAAUUUUUUUAAAAAUAAAAUUAA